rfam:Brassica oleracea var. oleracea cultivar TO1000 chromosome C5, whole genome shotgun sequence
GGAAUAUAAGAACCCGUCUCUUAACUUUUAACUAAAAAAGCUAAGAGCCGGUUCUUAAAUAAGAUAUUUAAUAACCGGUUUUUAGUUUUUUUAGUUAAAAGUUAAGAGACGGGUUCUUAUAUUCC